GCCCGCCUAGCUCAAUCGGAUAGAGCGUCAGACUCUUAUCUGGGCGGUGGCAUCUGAAGGCUGCGAGUUCGACCCUCGCGGUGGGCU